UACGUAGGGUGCGAGCGUUGUCCGGAAUUAUUGGGCGUAAAGAGCUUGUAGGUGGUUUGUCGCGUCUGCUGUGAAAAUCCGAGGCUCAACCUCGGACUUGCAGUGGGUACGGGCAGACUAGAGUGUGGUAGGGGAGCAGGGAAUUCCUAGUGUAGCGGUGAAAUGCGCAGAUAUUAGGAGGAACACCGGUGGCGAAGGCGCUGCUCUGGGCCGAAACUGACGCUGAGGAGCGAAAGCGUGGGUAGCAAACAGG
rnacentral:rRNA from 1 species